GUGAAGAACGUAGCGAAAUGCGAUAAGUAAUGUGAAUUGCAGAAUUCAGUGAAUCAUCGAGUCUUUGAACGCACAUUGCGCCCCCUGGUAUUCCGGGGGGCAUGCCUGUCCGAGCGUCAUUGCUGCCCUCAAGCACGGCUUGUGUGUUGGGCCCCGCCCCCCGGCUCCCGGGGGGCGGGCCCGAAAGGCAGCGGCGGCACCGCGUCCGGUCCUCGAGCGUAUGGGGCUUCGUCACCCGCUCCGUAGGCCCGGCCGGCGCCCGCCGGCGACCCCCCUCAAUCUUUUCAGGUUGACCUCGGAUCAGGUAGGGAUACCCGCUGAACUUAAGCAUAUCAAUAAGCGGAGGA
rnacentral:misc_RNA from 1 species